CCCCUCUCCUCCCUCGAGAGACCGCCCACGCCGACGCCGUUCUGCCCUUGCUAAUUGGCCAGCCUUCACACGUGAACAAGCGUCGAUUAGAUCUUGCGCGGAACUUCGUCUCUUCUCUUAGUCGUCAUUGAGCUGAAGAAGCAGAUGUUGGUGCCAUCUGGCUGAGUGAGAACAUUCAUGCUGUCGCGGUCUAAGAAGUAGAUUUCUGUACUUCCAUAGAGGUCUUUUAAGUGCUUCUGGAAGCAGGAUCUGUACAAAAAUGCAUACAAUGCUAAUAUAAUUGCCAUCUUAUAUGUCA